UACAGAGGGUGCGAGCGUUGUCCGGAAUCACUGGGCGUAAAGGGCGCGUAGGUGGCGGGCCAAGUCAGUGGUGAAAGCUCGAUGCUCAACAUCGAGUCGGCCACUGAUACUGGUUUGCUUGAGCACUGUAGAGGCAGAUGGAAUUCCGGGUGUAGCGGUGGAAUGCGUAGAGAUCCGGAAGACCACCGCUGGCGAAGGCGGUCUGCUGGGCCGUUCCUGACACUGAGGCGCGGCAGCGUGGGGAGCAAACAGG
rnacentral:rRNA from 1 species